UCAGUGUGUGUGUUAGUGGAAGCGUCUGGAAAGGCGCGUGAUACAGGGUGACAGCCCCGUACACAAAAAUGCACAUGCUGUGAGCUCGAUGAGUAGGGCGGGACACGUGGUAUCCUGUCUGAAUAUGGGGGGACCAUCCUCCAAGGCUAAAUACUCCUGACUGACCGAUAGUGAACCAGUACCGUGAGGGAAAGGCGAAAAGAACCCCGGCGAGGGGAGUGAAAAAGAACCUGAAACCGUGUACGUACAAGCAGUGGGAGCACGCUUAGGCGUGUGACUGCGUACCUUUUGUAUAAUGGGUCAGCGACUUAUAUUCUGUAGCAAGGUUAACCGAAUAGGGGAGCCGAAGGGAAACCGAGUCUUAACUGGGCGUUAAGUUGCAGGGUAUAGACCCGAAACCCGGUGAUCUAGCCAUGGGCAGGUUGAAGGUUGGGUAACACUAACUGGAGGACCGAACCGACUAAUGUUGAAAAAUUAGCGGAUGACUUGUGGCUGGGGGUGAAAGGCCAAUCAAACCGGGAGAUAGCUGGUUCUCCCCGAAAGCUAUUUAGGUAGCGCCUCGUGAAUUCAUCUCCGGGGGUAGAGCACUGUUUCGGCAAGGGGGUCAUCCCGACUUACCAACCCGAUGCAAACUGCGAAUACCGGAGAAUGUUAUCACGGGAGACACACGGCGGGUGCUAACGUCCGUCGUGAAGAGGGAAACAACCCAGACCGCCAGCUAAGGUCCCAAAGUCAUGGUUAAGUGGGAAACGAUGUGGGAAGGCCCAGACAGCCAGGAUGUUGGCUUAGAAGCAGCCAUCAUUUAAAGAAAGCGUAAUAGCUCACUGGUCGAGUCGGCCUGCGCGGAAGAUGUAACGGGGCUAAACCAUGCACCGAAGCUGCGGCAGCGACGCUUAUGCGUUGUUGGGUAGGGGAGCGUUCUGUAAGCCUGUGAAGGUGUACUGUGAGGUAUGCUGGAGGUAUCAGAAGUGCGAAUGCUGACAUAAGUAACGAUAAAGCGGGUGAAAAGCCCGCUCGCCGGAAGACCAAGGGUUCCUGUCCAACGUUAAUCGGGGCAGGGUGAGUCGACCCCUAAGGCGAGGCCGAAAGGCGUAGUCGAUGGGAAACAGGUUAAUAUUCCUGUACUUGGUGUUACUGCGAAGGGGGGACGGAGAAGGCUAUGUUGGCCGGGCGACGGUUGUCCCGGUUUAAGCGUGUAGGCUGGUUUUCCAGGCAAAUCCGGAAAAUCAAGGCUGAGGCGUGAUGACGAGGCACUACGGUGCUGAAGCAACAAAUGCCCUGCUUCCAGGAAAAGCCUCUAAGCAUCAGGUAACAUCAAAUCGUACCCCAAACCGACACAGGUGGUCAGGUAGAGAAUACCAAGGCGCUUGAGAGAACUCGGGUGAAGGAACUAGGCAAAAUGGUGCCGUAACUUCGGGAGAAGGCACGCUGAUAUGUAGGUGAAGUCCCUCGCGGAUGGAGCUGAAAUCAGUCGAAGAUACCAGCUGGCUGCAACUGUUUAUUAAAAACACAGCACUGUGCAAACACGAAAGUGGACGUAUACGGUGUGACGCCUGCCCGGUGC
rnacentral:rRNA from 1 species